UUUACCAGCAGGUGCCAUAGAACAACAAACUUACGAGGUCUUCGCUAACCUUCACAAACAAUUGAAUUAUAUUUGCAAUACAUCUUUCCCUGGGCAGAAAUAUUCUGUGGGACUAGUCUGUCAGAUACAAGGCGUACACACUUGCAACUGGCACGAAAAGGGUCACGUUCACAUGUGCCAUCUGGGAAACAGCAAAUCUGGGUUCGAGUUAUUUGAUGAAAUUCCUAAGGGAACACCUGCCGUUUGUAACUGUGAUGCAACCUUAAAGAUGAAAAUCUACCUGCACUUUGGCAAGAAGCCCCAGGAAACUGAAAGACAAUUCGAGAAGCUAAGAGAAAAUUGGACAAAAAUUGAAGAAGACCUCGAGCCUAAAGAUAUCUUGUCC